rnacentral:rRNA from 1 species
AUUGAACGCUAGCGGCAUGCCUUACACAUGCAAGUCGAACGAGUGGCGGACGGGUGAGUAAUAUAUCGGAACGUGCCCAGUAGCGGGGGAUAACUACUCGAAAGAGUGGCUAAUACCGCAUACUAUGCGAUCGGCCUAGAUGGGAUUAGCUAGUUGGUGGGGUAAAGGCUCACCAAGGCAACGAUCCAUAGCUGGUCUGAGAGGACGACCAGCCACACUGGAACUGAGACACGGCCCAGACUCCUACGGGAGGCAGCAGUGGGGAAUUUUGUACAAUGGGGGAAACCCUGAUCCAGCCAUGCCGCGUGUAUGAGAAGGCCUUCGGGUUGUAAAGUACUUUUGGCAGAGAAGCGGUAUCUGCAGAAUAAGCACCGGCUAACUACGUGCCAGCAGCCGCGGUAAUAC